CUCAGAAUGCUUGAAACAGUGAUGUCAUGUCACACCUCACUAUCUUGAGUAUUUCUGAUCCCUCAGGUUUGGUGGUGAACUUGGCAUCACCCACAAGGAGAGGUGCACAAAGUUUCCUGCAUCUUCUCCUUUCUCACAAACUCUUGAUGCUUCCGGGAGGAAUAGCUAGCUCUUCAUUCUCCACCUUAAAAAAGUGAAAUCUAUCUUAUGGCUCUGAUUCAAUAGUGCAUUUCAACACCUAUUUUAAAGCAUCAGACGAGCUCCAGUGAGCACAGGAAGUGUGUGGGCAGUCUGAAUGACAUAGGCGCAGAAAUAUCUCCCCUGGUUGUGUGCAGUCAGCUCUAGUUUGAAUGUAUGAGAAUAUCUUUGAGUUGGUCUUCAUCAUCACUCAGAAUCACACUACUGGGAAUGGCAGCAGUAUCCUUUGGCACAGCGAAGUCACCUCCAGAAAUAGUGGCUCACAGCUCUCCUCAGGUUAUGCCAAUAUCAUACGAUCAUCCACCAGCUGGGAUGGUUGCCUUCCCUCAUCUCUCUGGUGCCUUUUAGGUAGUUGGACCCAACUGUUUUGGAAUAAAUCAAGUGAGCAUCACCAGUUUUCCUUUGCUGAGCCACCUUCCCUCUGAUGGACAAAGUUCUCUUUUACCACACUGGGGUGAUCCGUAGCAGUUUGGUGCACUCCUUUAAAAAGAGCAGUGUCUGCAGUGAGCUAUUGUUUGAAUUACUAUGCAAUACAGUGGUUGUAAGAAUAAACUCUUUAAGUCAGAGAUCCUUGUGAAUAAC
rnacentral:lncRNA from 1 species